ensembl:lncRNA
GGGAAACUGAACUGCUCUGCGGCUCAUUCAUAUUCAUUCAUUCACUCACCAUCAUUCAUCCAAUCAGUAAAUAUUUUUUGAGUGCUUUCCACAUUCCCAUGUUUCUGGUAAAACACAAGGAAGUCCCUGCUCUUAUAGUGCUUACUGUGGAAGGGGAAGACAGACAGGGAGCAGAUGCUUGCUUGUGAGAUGGUGGUGACCACAAAGCAGGAGUCGGAGGUGGCAGAGAAUGACUGGCGGGUGCAGUCUCCCCUGGAGCCAGCUGUGCCCGAGGCCAAAGGUCAGGCCCUGAGAGAGUGACUGUGGAAUCAGGGCUCACGCAGGUCUUACGGCAACAGCUCAGAUGGUCACGUGUCCAGAGCCUGCACGCCAUGCUCCUUUUCCAGCUCAUCUCUGACCACUGACCACUUCCCACUGCAACCACACUGGACUCCCUCCAGUCUUUCUAACCUCUCCCCCAAGCUCUUUGCUGCCCCUGCCUGGAGCUUUCUCUCUUGCCUUCUGUCUCUGCCCUCUGCUCGAUGACUCCUACCCAGUGGUAUGGCUUAGCUCUGUGUCCUCACCCAAAUCUCAUCUCAAAUUGUAAUCCCCACGUGUUGAGGGAGGGACCUGGUGGGAGGUGAUUGGAUCAUGGUGGUGGUUCCCCAUGUUGUUCUGGUGAUAGUGAGGAAGUUCUCAUGAGAUCAGACGGUUUGAAAGUGGGAGUUUCCCCUGCUCCCUCCCUCUGUCUCUCUCUUUCUCUCCUGUCACCAUGUAAGAUGUGCCUGGCUUCCCCUUCUCCUUGUGCCAUGGCUGUAAGUUUCCUGAGGCCUCCAUGUAGGGGAAGAUUCUUCAUCCUCAAAAGAAGCAAAUUCCGGCCCACGCUCCAACAUGAAUGGACCUCAAAGACACUAUCCUAAGCGAAAUAAGCCAGUCGCUCACAAAAGGACAAAUAUUAUGUGAUUCUGUUUAGAUCAGGACCCUAGAGUAGUUGACUCAUAGAGACAGAAAGUGGAGGGUGGUUGUCGGGAGCUGGGGGAGAUGAGAAUGAGGGUUAGUGGGAACCGAGUUUCAGUUUGGGAAGAUGAGAAGGCUUCUGUGGACGACGCCUGAACAACAAUGUAAAUAAAUACAUUUAAAGGUUAAAAUGGGAAUGUACAUAAAUGUACUAAAAGGUUAAAACAGGCUGGGCGCAGUGGCCACCUCUGUAAUCCGAGUACUUUGAGAGGCCAAGGCGGGUGGGUCACCUGAGGUCAGGAGUUUGAGACCAGUCUGGCCAACAUGGUGACACCCUAUCUCUACUAAAAUACCAAACAAUUAGCUGGGUGUGGUGGCGCGUGCCUGUAAUCCCAGCUACUCCAGAGGCUGAGGCAGGAGAAUCGCUUGAACCUGGGAGGUGGAGGUUGCCAAGAUUGUGUCAUGGCACUCCAGCCUGGGCAAUAAGAGUGAAGCUCCAUCUCAGAAAAAAGGGGGGGUUAAAAUGUAAAUUUUAUAGGUUGGUACAAAAGUUGGUGCAAAAAAUUUUAUAGGUUGGUGCUACUUUUUUUUGGAGACAGAGUCUCACUCUGUCAACCAGGCUGGAGUGCAGUGGCACAAUCUCAGCUCACUGCAACCUCUGCCUCCCAGGUUUAAGUGAUUCUCCUGCCUCAGCCUCCCGAGUAGCUGAGAUUACAGGUGUCCGCCACCAUGCCUAGCUAGUUAUUUGUAUUUUAGUAGAGACAGGUUUCACCGUGUUGCCCAGGGUGGUCUCAAACUCCUGACCUUGUGAUCUGCCUGCCUUGGCCUACCAAAGUGUUAGGAUUAGAGGCAUGAGCCACUGUGCCCGGCAGGUGCUACUUUUUAAAUAGCAAAAACUAUAAUUAUUUUUGUACCAACCUACAUGUUCUGUAUAUUUUACCAUAAAGAAAGACAGUCAUAGUGUGAAGACCUUACAUUCUGAUUCAAACAAACUGCAAAUAAUCUUUUAAACUAUAAAACUGACAGGCCACUUAGAAAUCUGAACACUGAUUGGGUAUUUGAUGAAGUGAAGGGGUCGUCAUUUAUCUGAGGUGUGAUCGUGGUACCGUGACUGUUUAAAACACAGAUUAAAUGAUAUGAUAUCUAGUUUUACUUCAAAACAAGAUGAGUGGAGAGAAGGGGGUGGUGUAGAUAUGAAAUGAGAGUGUUCUUGAAUUGGUCAUUAUUGAACUUGCUGUUGACUACGGGAGGUUCCUUACGCUAUUCUGUGUGCUUUUGUAAAUGUUCGAAAUUUUUCAAAACAAGAUGUUUUUUAAAAUGGGGUUUAAUCUGUUCUUUAACUCGCUGAGUUCUCCCGGGCAAAUUCCUUCGCCUCUCUGCUGCCUUCUUUCUUCAGUUUUCCACUCAACACGGCACCUCCUCCAGGACGUCUUGACUGAUAACAUCCAAUAGAAAAGAUCACCCUCCUCUUUCCUACCCACUGUCCCCACCCCGUUUUUCUUCGCUCACAGCAUUGACCAGGACUUGAAAUUACACGAUCUAUGUGAGUCCGUAUGUGGCCUUUCUCUUCCUGCUGACUUCCUUGUAGCUGAAUCCCAUGCACCAAGAAGCAUGCCUGGACAUAGCAGACGAUGGGUAAGCAUUGGUCAUGGGAAUGAAUGAAUGAAUGAAUGAAGGAUCCGCGGCAUUAAGGCAGUGACAAGAGCCCUCCAGGUCAGCACAAGCACGAGUGAGACAAGGCGCUCAGCCCACAGCCCAGAACCGAGCGGAGGCUCAGGGCCACGAUUUCAUCCCCAGAGCAGCAUGUGCUGUUCUUGCACCUGUUUUCAUGAACCCACAGCUCCUAGUGGGGUGGCUGUCUGUCUUCUGGACCCAAACUAGAGUUCCCUCAUCCCAUCUCACUGCUCCCGACCCUGCCAACUGAAAUUUUCUCUAUGCCAUGAGCGUCCUCUUUACAAAAUGGUGGUUUUCUGCACAAGGUUGAGAGACUAUCAGUCAUUCACAACUUAGUGUGAAAUAGCUAAACUUUUCUAAGAACAGUAUAGUAAAGCCAUCUGCAUUGAGGGAAGGAAGGGAGAGGGCACAUGAUUAUGAAGCAGGAGAGACUCUGGAAUGAGAAACUGAGGCUAAGAGAGGUUACGUCACCUUAGAUCCCAAAGCUAGUUCACGACGGAUCUGGCACUGGUCUCCCAGUCUGUCUCAUUCCAAGUUAUUGUUGAUUACCCCGAAAACCAACACUCCGAGAAUAACCUUCAUGAGCUAAGAAAUACAAAUGCGAAGCUCAGAAAGGAAGUCACUUUGUCUAUGAGAUGAAAUGUACAGCCCUAAUAAUACUGGCAUAGAUAAAAUUCCAUAAUAAAUGGACUAAGACAGAUGACAUGGAAUAAGUAACGGUCCUUCCAACAGAAAAAUUACAUUUCAAAGCUGAAGAGUAAGUCUAAAGUCUCCGUGCCCUACUGCCCUCCACCCUUCUGGUUUCUUCCCCAUCCCUUCAUAUAAUCCGUUUGCUCUCUGUCUGACCUACCUUCUCGCUAAUCCAGACCUUUCCUCAACCCCAGCAGUACCCAGGCCCUCCCGUCCUUCAGCAGCUGGUCGUGGCAAUGUAUAGAGGGUUGCAAUCCCUCUCCUCCUCUGCUCCUCCCUGAACCAAUGCCUUCUUAUCCUCUCUACUCGCAAAGCAAAAGUAACCAUCCUGGCCAACAUGGCGAAACCCCGUCUCUACAAAGAUAGAAAAAUUAGCUGGGCAUGGCGGCAGGCGCCUGUACUCCCAGCUACUCGGGAGGCUGAGGCAAGGGCAUUGCUUGAACCAGGGAGGCAGAGGUUGCAGUGAGCCGAGAUUGCAUCACUGCACUCCAGCCUGGGGAAAGAGCAAGACUUAGUCUAAAAAAAAAAAAAAAAAAAAAAGACGAUAAUAUUCUCUCAUCUAACAGAACUUGCAUUAGAGACAGUGAGAUAUAAUAAAAUAUAUGCUUGGAAGUAUGAUAAAAUAAAAUGAGCAACUAAUUCAUGCAGUCAUUCAACAAGCAUGUAUUGAGCCCUAGGAGGAGCCAGGCACUGUGCUGGGAUCGGAAAUGGAGCUGCUAACAAACCAGGGUCAGGAGUGGUAAGAGGCAGUUGGAUCCUGGGUGGAG